GUUUUGCACUACACAUGCCGAAGUGGUUUUACAACUGACGCCACUGACCUUUCAGUAGUACUGAAACAAUUUUAUAGAGUUCCGAAGCAAGAAAUGGCAAGACAUAGAGAUAAUUCCGCGUGGUGUGGAGCCAUCAACUGCUCCAAUUCCAAGCUUCGAAACCCAGAACUGUCAUUUCAUCGCAUCCCAACAGAUGGUGUCAGAUGCUGGAAAUGGGUGCAAAGCAGUAGAAGGACUGAUCUCUUGGACAAGUCAGUGGAGUUUCUAUACAUGAACAUCAAGUUCUGCUCUCUACACUUUGAGCCAUCACAGUACCACCGAAACAGCAAGCGUCUCCGAAGAGAUGCAGUUCCAACUCUUUUUGACUUUCCAAAUGAGCCCAAGCAAGUUACUCCAAAAAGACCUCUGUGUGCCAAACCAGAGACAAACACAACUCUGAGAACAGACAAAAACACAACAAAACCAGAGGAAGCUCCUGGCCGUAGCUGGAGUGACUUUGAGGACAUGGUUGUAAAUGAAGAUCCCGAUAGCCCAGAGAGUGGUGACGAAAAUCGGCCGCCGAUCCCAGCUGUACGGGCAACCAGCGACUCCAGCCACUACAGGUGUGCAGUGAGACGCUUGAAGAAGCAAAAUCGACAGCUGAGAAGGGCCCUCAGAGCUGCCCGAAAGGUAACAUCAGCGCAGUCCGUGUUGGAAAAGGCAAGUUUGUACCUCAACCCAAGGCAGCUGGCAUUUUUCAAAAUGCAGUUGGACCUGUCCUCAUGUGCAGUGCGUGACAGACGAUUCACGGAUGAGCAGAUCAUUGAGUGUCGGGCACUGUACGACCAGGGGCCCCGGGCCUAUCGUUAUCUAAGAAAGCAGUUUGUGUUGCCAAGCCCUAGGAGUCUGACGAAGCAUUGAGUCCAUUUGCUGCCCGAUGUCAUUCAGAUUAGGCCAUUUUUCGCAAGCAGUAUGGGGUGCAGAUAACCAUGAGAGGCUAGGCUCAGUAUCUUUCGAUAAAAUGCAGCUCCGUGGCAAACUCGCGUACGAACACGGAGACGACGCCAUCAAAGGCAUGGGGGCCGCUGGGGGCGGUGCCAGGAAACCAGAGAGAAACGUGUAGAGUGCGAUCGGGAAAUGCUUUACGCACCUGAAGACUGCAUGUAUGACUUGGACAUUGGCAGCCUCAUGGAGCCUUGGAGCCACGACCCGGCGACCGUCCCGCACCUAACCCUCGCCGAUGGCCGGCCGCGUGCGUGGCUCGCUAAGUUUCUGGUGCUAACCCGGCCAGCGGCUAGGAGGCGACCGUGUGUGAUUCGCACAACGAAGCGCGGCUGGACAACAGUUUGAUGUGUGGGAAAAUGGAAAGCUGUUUUGCAAUAAAAUGAGUCACGUGUUUU
rnacentral:lncRNA from 1 species